rnacentral:rRNA from 1 species
GACGAACGCUGGCGGCGUGCUUAACACAUGCAAGUCGAACGAUGAAGCCGGAGCUUGCUCUGGUGAAUUAGUGGCGAACGGGUGAGUAACACGUGAGUAACCUGCCCUUGACUCUGGGAUAACUGCGGGAAACUGUAGCUAAUACCGGAUACGACCCUCGGAGGCAUCUCCUGGGGGUGGAAAGAAUUUCGGUCAAGGAUGGACUCGCGGCCUAUCAGCUAGUUGGUGAGGUAAAGGCUCACCAAGGCGACGACGGGUAGCCGGCCUGAGAGGGUGACCGGCCACACUGGGACUGAGACACGGCCCAGACUCCUAUGGGAGGCAGCAGUGGGGAAUAUUGCACAAUGGGCGCAAGCCUGAUGCAGCAACGCCGCGUGAGGGAUGACGGCCUUCGGGUUGUAGACCUCUUUUAGCAGGGAAGAAGCGAAAGUGACGGUACCUGCAGAAAAAGCACCGGCUAACUACGUGCCAGCCGCCGCAGUAA